GGUUGGUCCAAUGGUAGUGGGUUAUCAGAACUUAUUAACAUUAGUGGUCACUAAAGUUGGUAUGUGACCCCCCCACACUGCUAAAUUUGACUGGCUUUUU
rnacentral:Y_RNA from 1 species